ACUCCCUGAUAGGGAUUGUGGUGCA
rnacentral:snRNA from 1 species